UUCCGUGUGGUUAUUACAAAUUACAUCUUUCCUUUCCGGGUGGGUGUGCCCACUCACUGUUGCCUUGGCAACGCCGUGCUUUGCAGAGGCAGCGAGUGGACACACCCAGCAGGGGCACAUUUCUGGAUAGAACAGAGGCAGCAGGAAAAUUGAUUUUGAUGAUGGCUGGGAAUUCCAAACUGGUUUUACCUGGAAAGUUUAGGUAGGAUUUCUUCAGAGUAGUGUAGCAGUUACGGAUUCCCAGGGUGCCCUGGGCCUUUAAAAUGCCAUUCUGUCCCGUGUAAGUUUUGUUGAGGAUCUCUGAGAAUAUAUCACCUUAUCUUGGAUGCCUGGUUUCUCUGUAUAGCUUUGCACUUUUCCUGGAACUCGAUCUAUAGCCCAGAUGGGCCUCAAACUCACAGAGAUCUGCCUGGCACUGCCUCCUGAGACCACUCCUGCCCUGCCGAGUUUAUACUUUUGUUUCCACAGGAAAUAAAAACCUGUAGAUUCCUUCAAGGUAAUAGAGAUCAGAUUUGAACAUGGAAGUCCUCCUGAAAACCUACAGACAUAAAGAAAUAAACCAAGAAAAACUACAAGUCAGGUGCCAUAUAUACUGAUCCCUCUGCAUGGAAACAGUUCUGAGACCGGACAACAAAUGUUACCACUAGUUCUCUCAGGACUUGAUCAUUAUCUCCAUUUUCUCAGAGUCCCCUGGAGAUGCCAUCACCCUCAGACAACAGGAAGCAGUCUAUAGAACACAAGAUCCACAUUCUCAAGAGGUGGGGAUGGACAGCCGCACUUACUCUCGCUUGCGGUUCCGUUUGAAGAACCCGGCCCACUCUGCGCAUGUCUUUUUACUUCCAACCCAGAAGACCGCAGAGAUGCCAACAAUUAAUGUCAUCAGACAUAUUUAGGGGCCGGAGGGACGGCUCAGCGGCUGGGAGCACUGACGGCUCAGCGGCUGGGAGCACUGACGGCUCAGCGGCUGGGAGCACUGACGGCUCAGCGGCUGG